UUUUGCUUCCUAAACUCUCUGUUAUUGUCAACUUUUUACCUUAAAAAAUUAAAAAAAACUCAAAUACUAUCUUUGUGAUUUCAUAUUUUCUCAAUUUAGUAUUUUAUAAUUUAAAAUAUUUCACUCUAGCAUUCUCUGGUUUUAGUUUUUCUCUUUCCGUUAUUCUCUAUAUUAAUUUUUUUUAAAUCAGUGACAAAAUUAAAACCACCAAAUACUAAAGUGAAAAUUCGAUAAUAACAUGGUACUAAAGUGAAUAUUCGAUUAAUCAUAGAUGGGAUAUAUCUAAAGUUUUUUUUGUAUAUGAUUUAACAGAUAGUUAACAAAGGUAUCAAUGGAAAGAGAAGAAUGAAACAAAGGAUUUAAGUAUCGUGCCACGUGAUCGUGCCGAAAACUUGCCGAUCAAAAAAAUACUUGUGUGCCGACACAUAAUAGCAUGAAAUAUUUAUUUUCUUUAGCAACAAAAUAUUCUAACUAUUUAUUAUGUCUUUUUAUCACAUCUUUUGAACUUUAUUAAGAAAAUUACUUACUAAUUGAAAGAAUAGAGAAUUUUGAGUUGUGCCAUCGGCACGGGAUCUGUAUCGUACCGGUAUCUUGUUGGCACGGUACGGCACGGUGGAUACGGCCUGUGCCGAUGGGUACUUAAAACUUUGAAUGAAACUAUGGAAUACUAAAUUGAUACACUUUAAAUCACAAGAUAUUGCAGUGAGAAAACGUGAAACCACAAGGGUGUGGUAUUUGAAGUUUACCAAAACAAUUU
rnacentral:lncRNA from 1 species